GAACGCACAUUGCACCCUCUGGUAUUCCGGAGGGUAUGCCUGUUUGAGUGUCAUUAACAUGUCAACACAGCCAAGUUUUCCAUGACUUGCGUUGUUGCUUGGACGUUGAAGGCCUGCUGGCAUGAACUAUUGUCGGCUCCUUUUAAAUUCAUUAGCAGGAACUAUGCAGAAACUGGCUUCAGUUUGAUAAGAUUGAACUGCUGCUAAGGAUGCACUUGCUAUUCCAGCUUCUAAUUGUCCAGUGAACUGGACUGUCUCAUCCUUGAGGCAAAUCACUUAUGACAACUUGGCCUCAAAUCAGGUAGGAUUACCCGCUGAACUUAAG
rnacentral:misc_RNA from 1 species